UACGAAGGGGGCUAGCGUUGCUCGGAAUCACUGGGCGUAAAGGGCGCGUAGGCGGACUCUUAAGUCGGGGUGAAGCCCAGGCUCAACCCUGGAAUUGCCUUCGAUACUGAGAGUCUUGAGUUCGGAAGAGGUUGGUGGAACUGCGAGUGUAGAGGUGAAAUUCGUAGAUAUUCGCAGAACACCAGUGGCGAAGGCGGCCAACUGGUCCGAUACUGACGCUGAGGCGGCGAAG
rnacentral:rRNA from 1 species